rnacentral:rRNA from 1 species
GACGAACGCUGGCGGCGUGCCUAAUACAUGCAAGUAGAACGCACAGUUUAUACCGUAGCUUGCUACACCAUAGACUGUGAGUUGCGAACGGGUGAGUAACGCGUAGGUAACCUGCCUGGUAGCGGGGGAUAACUAUUGGAAACGAUAGCUAGUACCGCAUAAUAUUAAUUAUUGCAUGAUAAUUAAUUGAAAGGUGCAAUUGCACCACUACCAGAUGGACCUGCGUUGUAUUAGCUAGUAGGUGAGGUAACGGCUCACCUAGGCGACGAUACAUAGCCGACCUGAGAGGGUGAUCGGCCACACUGGGACUGAGACACGGCCCAGACUCCUACGGGAGGCAGCAGUAGGGAAUCUUCGGCAAUGGACGAAAGUCUGACCGAGCAACGCCGCGUGAGUGAAGAAGGUUUUCGGAUCGUAAAGCUCUGUUGUAAGAGAAGAACGGGUGUGAGAGUGGAAAGUUCACACUGUGACAGUAUCUUACCAGAAAGGGACGGCUAACUACGUG